GACGAACGCUGGCGGCGUGCCUAAUACAUGCAAGUCGAGCGAAGUUUUUCUGGUGCUUGCACUAGAAAAACUUAGCGGCGAACGGGUGAGUAACACGUAAAGAACCUGCCUCAUAGACUGGGACAACUAUUGGAAACGAUAGCUAAUACCGGAUAACAGUAUUUCUCGCAUGAGAGAUAUUUAAAAGUUGGUUAUGCUAACACUAUGAGAUGGCUUUGCGGUGCAUUAGCUAGUUGGUGGGGUAAAGGCCUACCAAGGCGACGAUGCAUAGCCGACCUGAGAGGGUGAUCGGCCACACUGGGACUGAGACACGGCCCAGACUCCUACGGGAGGCAGCAGUAGGGAAUCUUCCGCAAUGGGCGAAAGCCUGACGGAGCAACGCCGCGUGAGUGAAGAAGGAUUUCGGUUCGUAAAGCUCUGUUGUUAGGGAAGAAUGGAUAUGUAGUAACUAUACAUGUAAGAGACGGUACCUAACCAGAAAGCCACGGCUAACUACGUGCCAGCAGCCGCGGUAAUACGUAGGUGGCAAGCGUUGUCCGGAAUUAUUGGGCGUAAAGCGCGCGCAGGUGGUUUAAUAAGUCUGAUGUGAAAGCCCACGGCUCAACCGUGGAGGGUCAUUGGAAACUGUUAAACUUGAGUGCAGGAGAGAAAAGUGGAAUUCCUAGUGUAGCGGUGAAAUGCGUAGAGAUUAGGUGGAACACCAGUGGCGAAGGCGGCUUUUUGGCCUGUAACUGACACUGAGGCGCGAAAGCGUGGGGAGCAAACAGG
rnacentral:rRNA from 1 species